GGGGAUUUAGCUCAGUGGUAGAGCGCUUGCCUAGGAAGCGCAAGGCCCUGGGUUAGGUCCCCAGCAGCUCCG
rfam:Rattus norvegicus chromosome 6, whole genome shotgun sequence.